AACGAACGCUGGCGGCAUGCCUAACACAUGCAAGUCGAACGAGACCUUCGGAGCUAGUUGCGCACGGGUGCUUAACGCGUGGUAACCUGCCCUUAGGCUCCGAACAACUCCCCGAAAGGUGAGCUAAGAACGGAGAAUGUCUUCCGACCAAAGAGUUAUCGCCUUUGGAUGGGCCCGCGUUGGCUUAGCUGGUUGGUAGGGUAAAAGCCUACCAAGGCGACGUUCCAUAGCUGGUCUGAGAGGAUGAUCAGCCACACUGGGACUGCGACACGGCCCAGAACCGUACGCGAGGGAGCAGAGGGGAAUACUGGAGAAUGGGGGCAAGCCUGAUCCAGCAAUGCCGGGUGAGUGAUGAAGGGGUUAGGGUUGUACAGCUCUUUUACACGGGAUGAUAAUGACAGUACCGGGAGAAUAAGCUCCGGCUAACUCCGUG
rnacentral:rRNA from 1 species